CCCUCCCCUAAAUCACUCCAAAAAAACAAUCCCCAAUUCUACACAAGUGUUUCUACACUAACAAAGCAACAGCUCCUUAACGAAUUCCCAACUUUACACGAGCUCGUCUCUCGAGGUUAAAUGUUAUUACUUGUAAGAUUCCGGACCUCGCCAAGUGUUUUGAAAACCCGCAACGCUCGCAAAGGUGCAUAGUGAGAAUAAUAAGUGAAGAGACAGACUUGUCCAAAACGCCCACCACGAAGGUGCAUAGUGAGAAGAGUAAGUCAAGAGAUAGACUUGUCCAAAAAGAAACGGAAGAGAAAGCUUGGGGAGACGCUCACGAAGGUGCAUAGUGAGAAGAGUAAGUCAAGAGAUAGACUUGUUCAAAAAGAAACAGAAGAGAAUGCUUGGGGUUACACUCACGAAGGUGCAUAGUGAGAAGAGUAAGUCAAGAGACAGACUUGUUCAAAAAGAAACAAAAGAGAAUGCUUGGGGAGAUAGAAGUGUGAGAUAGUUCUCAAGCUAAGAAAGUUGUAAAAGCUAAGAACUAGCAAGUAAUCGUCCAGGAUUCCUCCACCAGGACUUGAAAUCGUCGAGGGAAAAAAAUCGGUUCCGAGGAAUCGUCGAUCCGGACUUGGAAUCGUCGAGAAAAGUUUACCGGGUCCGAGGAUUUGUCGACCAGGAGUGGAAAUCGUCGAGAAAAAUCUAUCGGGUCCGAGGAAUCGUCGACCAGGACGAGGAAUCGUCGACAGGGUCCGAGGAUUUGUCGACCAGGGGUUGAAAUCGUCGACCAGGUCCGAGACUUCAUCGAC
rnacentral:misc_RNA from 1 species